AUAAAAAUAAGCUAAUUAAGCUAUUAGACUCAUAAUCUAAUAAUAAAGAUUUUAAUUCUUUUUUUUAUA
rnacentral:tRNA from 1 species